UCUCUACCAGUCAACCAAGGGUGGUGUA
rnacentral:sRNA from 1 species